UUUCUCACGCCGAUCAAAAACCCUAAUAGGCUAAUUCUUUCUUCUUUUUGAAUUGCUUUUCAAUGAUUUCCCCAAUUCAAUUCAAGUAUCAGAAAUCAAAUAUUCAUAUUUCAUUUCAAAAUAAGAUAUCCGUGUCAAGUUUUCACAUCUGAAUCCUUUGAGAUACGAAGAGAAGGAUUGAUGGAACGAGCUAAAUCGAAAGACGGAUGUGCAGGUGUGGUUCCUAAAGGAGUUCCGGUGUACGACGGAAAAUACAUACAUACAGUGUGCUCGGAAAUCUAUUUGAGUCUUGCCACUUUAUUUUUGCGAGGCUUCAAUUUUACAACGUUCCCAAGCACAAAAUUACUAUUGCUACAACUCAAUUUUUAGAGUGGAAGGUGGGCAAUCUGUAACAUUGGUUGGUUCAAAACUUAUAACGUCUGGGGGAGAGGACAAGCAUUUAAUACUUUUGAAUGACGUUAAUUCCCUUGAUCUAGAGACUAUGAUUUGGAAUGUUGCCGAGACUACGCAAGUAGAUUUGUACAACAUUUUUGGCAACCACUGGUAUAUUUAUGGGCAUUGCCAUUGUGCUAUGGACUAUGUAUGUGUGGUUAUGUGCUUAAGUGCCUAUUUAAAUUGUUUUUUAUGGGAACCAAACAAAAAGGCCCACUUAGUCCGUUGGCUUUAUUGUUCAAAUUGCAGAAUCUUGAUGUGGAUCAAAUACUUUUAUGCAUUAUGUUUGGUUUUAAAUGUAGAGUUCCUUUCAGUUGAUUGAUUACUGAAUAGGAUGGAAAGGAAAACUCUAUGUUGUAGACUUUCUUAUUCUUGCAGACAUGCAAUUCAAUAACAUUCCAAUAGGUACCCACAAUAACCAACAGAUUCCAGGCCAUCGUUGUCGAUAGCGAAUAGCGACAAGGUACCUAUAGGCUACGUAGCGAAUAGCGAUAAAUAGCGACCACUAUUUUAUAAAUAGUGAUUACACUAGAAAAAUAAUUUUGAAAAUUUUUAUAUGUAUAUUACAUCAAAAUACCCUUGUAUAUAUGCUAUUUUACAUGUAUAUUUAACAAAAACCUAUAAAUCCAGCUAUUUUAUAGCCAUAUCUAACUGAUAUUAACAUAAAAAAAAACCUAACCGUCGCUAAGUUCGCUAUUUAUCGCUAAGACCCAUAUGGCGACACUUGGUCGCAUGGCUACAUAGCACGCUAUAGCGGUCGCUAUAGCCGCUAUUAACAACUAUGUUCCAGGCAAUAACAUAAUAUUCUAUCGUUAUAUAUGUUUUUUUUUAAUAAUUAUGACAAUAAGAAGUAAAUUUUGGCACUAGCUCAGGAGUUUGAUAUCCCGUUGGGUGAUGGAGUUCAUUUAUAAGAGUUAAGGACAUGACUAUUAAGAGAACUUGUAUUAGGUACCUUACACAUGGAGUUCUUGAAAAUCUUUCUGGCCGCUCAAACAAUAUUCAGUGAUCGUAUUGGAUGAAGCCCAUGAACGGAGUCUAAACACGAAGAAACCAGUGAUUGCUAAUAAGAUCACAUGGUUUUUUAGCAUGGACUAUUUGGCAUGAAUUUGAAAAAAAAAACAAAAGAAUGGUUGCUGAAAUUUCUCAUAUACAUGUCUUUUUAAUAGACUGGUGUGGAGCCCAAUGAAAUCGACCUGGUUAUGAAUCAAAAUGGCUGUCAAGAUCAAAGGUCGUCAAGGCUUUUUAAAGGCUGCAAAUGGUCAACGGAGAUGUUAAGGUCAUUUUAUUCUCAUACGUAUAAAGGGAAACAUGGGUAUUUAGAAGUUAACCGUGAAGACUGGGAGACCAAUUGUGUAUGGGUUGGGCCGCAAAAGGUAGAGUAUGGAGUUAGAAGAAAUGUUGAAGGAUGAACUUACGCUCAAAAUAGCUCUUUCUGGCUGCCCCACUCUCAAUGGUAUGGAUGUCACUUUGUUUAUGAUUUAUUAAACGACUUCAAGGAUAUCGAAUUUUAGGUGUCUGUUAAAUCAAAGAGGACUUGCAUCUAUAAUGUUGGAUGUGGUAGGGCGUGCUACACCAACUGGACUGAGCUCAUGUUACUUUUAGUAAAUUGUAAAUGUAACAUUAUUUGUCUUUUUUCUUGAUGUUUUUGUACACGGCUUAUAAAGGAAACUUCAUACCUAAUGAUAAAAUCCACUUUGUUACUAA